GGGCCCGCACAAGCGGUGGAGCAUGUGGUUUAAUUCGAUGCAACGCGAAGAACCUUACCAGGGCUUGACAUACUACGAAUCUCCUCGAAACGGGAGAGUGCCUUCGGGAAUGUAGAUACAGGUGGUGCAUGGCUGUCGUCAGCUCGUGUCGUGAGAUGUUGGGUUAAGUCCCGCAACGAGCGCAACCCUUAUUUUUAGUUACCAAUUCGUUGGGUUCUCUAGAAAGACUGCCGGUGACAAACCGGAGGAAGGUGAGGAUGACGUCAAGUCAGCAUGCCCCUUAUGUCCUGGGCUACACACGUGCUACAAUGGUUAGGACAAAGAGUCGCAAGUUCGUAAGAACAAGCUAAUCUCAUAAACCGUGGCUCAGUUCAGAUCGUAGGCUGCAACUCGCCUACGUGAAGGCGGAAUCGCUAGUAAUCGC
rnacentral:rRNA from 1 species